AUGUCUUUCAAUUCUCGUACUCGUAAUUGGAAAGUUAUGGAAGGAGACCCAUCAUUUUGCAAUGAAAACAACAUAUAAAACUCUGGACAAUUUCGAAAUCAACAGAAUUUGCCCUAA
rnacentral:rRNA from 1 species